rnacentral:rRNA from 1 species
UACGUAGGGGGCAAGCGUUAUCCGGAUUUACUGGGUGUAAAGGGAGCGUAGACGGCUAAUCAAGUCAGAAGUGAAAACCCAGGGCUCAACCUUGGGACUGCUUUUGAAACUGAGUAGCUAGAGUGCAGGAGAGGUAAGUGGAAUUCCUAGUGUAGCGGUGAAAUGCGUAGAGAUUAGGAAGAACACCAGUGGCGAAGGCGACUUACUGGACUGUAACUGACGCUGAGGCAUGAGAGCAUGGGGAGCAAACAGG